UGGUGUUUCCAUUCAGUUUGAUUCUGGAAACUUAAGCAAGGUCUGUCUUGCUGAGUUCUUGGAUGGAAGACCACCAUGGACCAGCCAGAACAAACAUCCC
rnacentral:rRNA from 1 species